GACGAACGCUGGCGGCGUGCUUAACACAUGCAAGUCGAACGGUGAAGCGCCUUCCUUUUUGGUGGGUGUGGAUGAGUGGCGAACGGGUGAGUAACACGUGAGUAACCUGCCCCCUUCUUCUGGAUAACCGCAUGAAAGUGUGGCUAAUACGGGAUAUUCUGGGUCUGUCGCAUGAUGGGUCUGGGAAAGAUAUUGUUUCGGUGGGGGAUGGGCUCGCGGCCUAUCAGCUUGUUGGUGGGGUGAUGGCCUACCAAGGCGGUGACGGGUAGCCGGCCUGAGAGGGUGGACGGUCACACUGGGACGGAGACACGGCCCAGACUCCUACGGGGGGCAGCAGGGGGGAAUAGUGCACAAUGGGCGCAAGCAUGAUGCAGCGACGCCGCGGGAGGGAUGGAGGCCUUCGGAUUGUGAACCUCUUUCGCCAGUGAAGCAGGCCUGCCUCGUUUGUGGGUGGGUUGACGGUAGCUGGAUAAGAAGCGCCGGCUAACUACGUG
rnacentral:rRNA from 1 species